AUUGAACGCUGGCGGCAGGCCUAACACAUGCAAGUCGAACGAGUGGCGGACGGGUGAGUAAUGUCUGGGCAACUGCCUGAUGGAUGGGGAUAACUACUGGAAACGGUAGCUAAUACCGCAUACUAUCGGAUGUGCCCAGGUCGGAUUAGCUAGUUGGUGGGGUAAAGGCCCACCAAGGCGACGAUCCGUAGCUGGUCUGAGAGGAUGACCAGUAACACUGGAACUGAGACACGGUCCAGACUCCUACGGGAGGCAGCAGUGGGGAAUAUUGGACAAUGGGCGCAAGCCUGAUGCAGCCAUGCCGCGUGUAUGAAGAAGGCCUUCGGGUUGUAAAGUACUUUCAGCGGGGAGGCGUUACCCGCAGAAGAAGCACCGGCUAACUCCGUGCCAGCAGCCGCGGUAAUAC
rnacentral:rRNA from 1 species